UUUUUUCAAUUAUAAACAUAUACUAGAUUUUGACCCGCGGUAUGCUAGGUUUUUAAUAAAAUUUGUUAUAUAAAAUGUAUAUGUAGAUAUUUGUUUUAUUAAUAUUGUUUACUUUGUUUAGUGUUUAAGAUAAUGUAUAUAUAGAUUUUAAUUGUUAUAUUUAGGAUUUCACCCGUAGUAUAUCGUUUCGUAUUACUAUCGAUCUAAACCCGUCAUACCAUCUAAUACAGCACAAUGAAAUUAAACAUAUCUAAUGGAUUUCACUUGUGUUAUACCACAAUUAAUACUGCAUAGUGAAAUUAAACGAUAUAUGUCCUUGGCCAAUUUAAUUAGAAAUCUCACGAUUUCGUCUCCCAUUCGUUCUCUUUUCUUAUCUUUCUCAAAACUCUUUUGCUCUUUUCACUUU
rnacentral:sRNA from 1 species